rnacentral:sRNA from 1 species
CUUGGCAGCACUGCCAGGUCUCCCUGGGGGCUGCGCUGUUUGACCCUGUGCCGUCCUGAGGCCUGGGCCAGAUGCUGCUUCCUCCAGGGAAGAUUUGUUCUCCCUCCCAGUAGCUCCCCAGGGACCUCCCACACCACUGCCCUGGGCCCUGUGUGUAUAGGCCCAGAUUUUUCUCUGUGUCCUUUAUUACCAGCUCUGUUUACAGAUCCCUGGAGUCAGGGGAAGGGGUGAGCUCAGAUCUGAGGCCAAGAGGCCAUUUCCCAGCUGGCUGCAGCUGAGGCUGGUGGCCGUGUCUGAGCGUCGUGGAGCCCGGGUCCACAGCACCCAGGUGGCGGGGGACAGGGAUGCCCGGCCCAGGUGCCAGCGGCGCCCUGACCAGCCACGGCCUCAAAGUGACUCUCCUGCUCUGCUCCAGCCACACCUGCAUGCUGUGGCGGGCGCUGGCGGUGGAGCCUCGCCUAGCUGCCCAGGUCCUGGGGCUGCUGCUGGAGAAGAUGAGUAAGGACGUCCCGUUCAAGGAGAGCCGGGCCUUCCUGCUGGGCCGCACCCCAGACCGCGUGGCCACGCUGCUGCCUCUCUCGGCUACCUGUGCACUGUUUGAGGUCAUGUCCACGCCUGCAGCGGGGCCCGCGGUGCUAGAGCUCUACCCCCAGCUGUUUGUGGUGCUUCUGCUGCGCGUCAGCUGCACCGUGGGUGUCCAGCUGCCCCGG